UACAGAGGGUGCGAGCGUUAAUCGGAAUUACUGGGCGUAAAGCGUGCGUAGACGGUUAUUUAAGUCGGGUGUGAAAGCCCCGGGCUCAACCUGGGAAUUGCAUUUGUGACUGUAGAGCUGGAGUGCGGCAGAGGGGGAUGGAAUUCCGCGUGUAGCAGUGAAAUGCGUAGAUAUGCGGAGGAACACCGAUGGCGAAGGCAAUCCCCUGGGCCUGCACUGACGCUCAUGCACGAAAGCGUGGGGAGCAAACAGG
rnacentral:rRNA from 1 species